rnacentral:tRNA from 1 species
UGGAAUAUAGCUUAGUGUUUGAAUGUCUGCCUAGCAUGCACAGGCCUUGGGUUUGAUCCCCAAUUCUACAA